rnacentral:rRNA from 1 species
AUGAACGCUAGCGACAGGCUUAACACAUGCAAGUCGAGGGGCAGCACGGUGUAGCAAUACAUUGGUGGCGACCGGCGCACGGGUGAGUAACGCGUAUGCAACCUACCUAUCAGAGGGGAAUAACCCGGCGAAAGUCGGACUAAUACCGCAUAAAACAGGGGUUCCACAUGGAAAUAUUUGUUAAAGAUUUAUCGCUGAUAGAUGGGCAUGCGUUCCAUUAGAUAGUUGGUGAGGUAACGGCUCACCAAGUCUACGAUGGAUAGGGGUUCUGAGAGGAAGGUCCCCCACACUGGUACUGAGACACGGACCAGACUCCUACGGGAGGCAGCAGUGAGGAAUAUUGGUCAAUGGGCGAGAGCCUGAACCAGCCAAGUCGCGUGAAGGAUGAAGGAUCUAUGGUUUGUAAACUUCUUUUAUAUGGGAAUAAAGUGAGGAACGUGUUCCGUUUUGUAUGUACCAUAUGAAUAAGCAUCGGCUAACUCCGUGCCAGCAGCCGCGGUAAUACGGAGGAUGCGAGCGUUAUCCGGAUUUAUUGGGUUUAAAGGGUGCGUAGGUGGUUUUUUAAGUCAGCGGUGAAAGUUUGUGGCUCAACCAUAAAAAUUGCCGUUGAAACUGGGGAACUUGAGUAUAUUUGAGGUAGGCGGAAUGCGUGGUGUAGCGGUGAAAAUGCAUAUAUAUCACGCAGAACUCCGAUUGGCGAAAGGGCGCUUAACUAAACUAUAACUGACACUGAAGCACGAAAGCGUGGGGAUCAAACAGGAUUAGAUACCCUGGUAGUCCACGCAGUAAACGAUGAUUACUAGCUGUUUGCGAUACACAGUAAGCGGCACAGCGAAAGCGUUAAGUAAUCCACCUGGGGAGUACGCCGGCAACGGUGAAACUCAAAGGAAUUGACGGGGGCCCGCACAAGCGGAGGAACAUGUGGUUUAAUUCGAUGAUACGCGAGGAACCUUACCCGGGUUUGAACGCAUUCGGACCGACUGUGAAAGCAGUCUUUCAGCAAUGACCGUUUGCGAGGUGCUGCAUGGUUGUCGUCAGCUCGUGCCGUGAGGUGUCGGCUUAAGUGCCAUAACGAGCGCAACCCUUAUCACUAGUUACUAACAGGUCAUGCUGAGGACUCUAGUGAGACUGCCAGCGUAAGCUGUGAGGAAGGUGGGGAUGACGUCAAAUCAGCACGGCCCUUACAUCCGGGGCGACACACGUGUUACAAUGGUGGGGACAAAGGGCAGCUACACAGCGAUGUGAUGCUAAUCUCCAAACCCCAUCUCAGUUCGGAUCGAAGUCUGCAACCCGACUUCGUGAAGCUGGAUUCGCUAGUAAUCGCGCAUCAGCCAUGGCGCGGUGAAUACGUUCCCGGGCCUUGUACACACCGCCCGUCAAGCCAUGGGAGUUGGGGGUACCUAAAGUCCGUAACCGCAAGGAUCGGCCUAGGGUA